GAGAAAAUUAUUAUUUGAUUAUUAGGAUUACUUAAUUUAUAAAAAGAGUUAUUGUUUUGUUUUUGUAUAUUUCAGAUAAAAUUAUUUUUAUUAUAGUUUAGAGUACAGUGAUGGAAUUAUUAAGUUCAUUUUUUUUGUCAAAGGAUAUUUUGUUAGUACCUUUUGUAUCAGGGUUUAUCAAAAUUAUUUUAUGAAUAUAAGUAUCUCGAAUUAGGGAGAGCUAUUAUACAAUGAAGAUUACUGUGGAAUUUUUAUCUUUAAUUGUUUAUAGGAGUGAAAUGUUAUACGUUCUUUAAGAUAUCUAGUUUAUUAGGAUUUAAAUUUAAUUUAUAUAUAUUAGUGGUUUAUAAAGAUUUACUUUUAUAUAAAGAAUACUUGGGAUUAGCUUAGUUUAAUAUUAGAAGAUUAUUAGAUGAAAUAAAAUUUAUAGGCUUUAUAAUGGCAUAGGUUUUAAAAUAUAAAAAUUUAUUUAGUUUUAUGUGAUUUAUAUAAUUUUAAUAUAGUACUAAUAUAAUAAUAGAAAUAAAUAUUUUUUUGUAAUAAUGAUGUAAUUAGUAGAUUUGAUUUAUUUUGUUUGAUAAUAGGAAAUAAUAUAUUAGGAAUUAGGCAAGAAAAUUAUCCGCCUGUUUAACAAAAACAUGUCUCAAUGCUUAUUAUGUUGGGUCUGGCCUGCCUACCGAUUAUACAUUGAGGGGCCGCAGUAUAUUGACUGUGCAAAGGUAGCAUAAUCAUUAGUCUUUUAAUUAGGGGCUGGAAUGAAGGGUUUGACGAGAUAAUAACUGUCUUAUAUAUUAGAAUUUAAUUUCAUUUUUGAGUAAGAAAGCUUAAAUUAUAAUAAGGGACGAUAAGACCCUAUAGAACUUUAUAUGAAUUAUUUAAUAAAAAUAAUAAAUAUUUUACUGGGGCGGUUAGGAAAGAUGAAAACUUUUCUUAAUUUUUACAUUGUAUGUGAUAUAAUGAUCUUUUAUUAGGGAUGAGAUAAUAAGUUACCUUAGGGAUAACAGCUUAAUUUUCUUAAAGAGUUCUAAUCGACAAGAAAUAUUAAGACCUCGAUGUUGGAUUAGGAUGACUAUAGGGCGCAGUAGUUUUAUUAGUAAGUCUGUUCGACUUUUAAAUUCCUACAUGAUCUGAGUUCAAACCGGCGUGAGCCAGGUUGGUUUCUAUCUUUAUUUUAUUUAUAUAAAUUAGUACGAAAGGGCCAUUUAUAUAAAAUAUUUUUUUUUGUGGAAUGAUAUU
rnacentral:rRNA from 1 species